UGUACUGCAGCAAAAAGUUAAGAAAAACAUUUUAGCCUUGAUGACAAAAAAAAAAAAGAAGAAGAAGAAAAUGGCACCUUUCUGUGGUUUACGAAGAGUGCGAAGAUUUGUCAUUAUUGAGAGAUUGAAAAUUAAAUUGAAAGUAGUCGUAUUGGCGAAAUGUCAAGUCUUACAACUUCAUUACUAAGUUAAUCAUGUGACUUAACAAGUGGAAUUAAUUUCUGCAUAAAGAAUGCUAUGAAUAUAUGCAACGUCAGGUAUGUACAAUCUAUCGGUAAUUAUUUUAUUAUGAACCUUCACAAUUUACAUUAUCUAAACGAUUUUAUUACCAAUGAAGAAGAGUCGUUGAACUCUCAACGGCAUAUCAUUGGCAUUAGAUUAGCUUCGUUAUCAACGGCAUCAUCUAUUAUAAAAGAUAAUUAUACUUGAUUCUAAGAAUCGUUUAAAGCAAUUCGAAUUAUGUUUAUGUUUUCAUCAUAAAGACUGUAAUAUGAUAGCGUCUAUAACGUUAAAUGUUUCGAAAGAAUAAUAGUCGGUUUAUUUCGUAAUGAACUGACUAACAAUAGGAGGAUGCGAAUCUAUCAACCUGCACGCGAUUAUACGUGAAUUAUUCCAUUUCACAGUAUUUUUCUUUCUUUCUUUCUUUCUCUUUCUUUCUUUUUUCUUUUUCUUUUUUUUUUCAUCUUCUCUUUUAAAUAUUCUUCGAAGAUAAUAUCUCAGAAUACUUUUAUUUCUUUAUGAGAACACAACAACAGACAUUCAUCGAUGAAGAUGAAAGUUACAGUGUGUUCAAGGAAACUUGCAGACAAGCGAAGUAAAUGGGUGAGAGAAAUUCCAAAGCUAUCAGAAAAGAGGCUUGAGAAAGCGAUGAAGAACACGAUUGUGACAUACCAUUAUAUACAUCGAAUACACGAGUAAACAUAUUAACAAAAUUCGUCACUAAAUCGAAUUAUCUCGACGAUCGUAAAUUUUUGGAAAUUUUUUUUUCGCCAUUGAAUUUACCUUUACGACACAGUUAAACGAUACGAUAUGGAAUUUGACAAUGAAUAUCAUUUGUCUCGAGAAGAAUUUCGAUCCUUAAUUAUAUUUAUACUGGAAAUGUUAUAUGUUAAUACGAGAAAGUAAAUUCUUGACUAAUUC